rnacentral:tRNA from 1 species
GGGGAUUUAGCUCAGUGGCACAGCACCUGCCUGGCAAGCAUGAGGUCCUGAGUUCAAUUCAUGGUCCCCC